CGGAGGAUCCAAGCGUUAUCCGGAAUCAUUGGGUUUAAAGGGUCCGUAGGCGGUUUGGUAAGUCAGUGGUGAAAGCCCUUCGCUCAACGGAGGAACGGCCAUUGAUACUGCCAGACUUGAAUUACUGGGAAGUAACUAGAAUAUGUAGUGUAGCGGUGAAAUGCUUAGAUAUUACAUGGAAUACCAAUUGCGAAGGCAGGUUACUACCGGUGGAUUGACGCUGAUGGACGAAAGCGUGGGGAGCGAACAGGAUUAGAUACCCUGGUAGUCCACGCCGUAAACGAUGGAUACUAGCUGUUGGGAGCAAUCUCAGUGGCUAAGCGAAAGUGAUAAGUAUCCCACCUGGGGAGUACGUUCGCAAGAAUG
rnacentral:rRNA from 1 species